UCUCAUUCUUCCCCUUUGAAAUCAGAGCUUUUACCAAAUGCCUUUGCAUCUUUUAGCAUGCAUACCUUUCUUUUUUAAGGGGCUCACAGAUAGUGCAACGGGGGAAGCUUAGAUUCUGCAGCCAUCUAAAAGUUUGAGAGAGGGCAUGGUGGGAAGAAAAAUUAUUUCAUUUAAGUAAAACUUGCUGUCACAAGAUGAAAGACUAGUCAGUGUUAUCACAAGGACAUCUAUGUAGCAUCUUUUGUGGGAAUAUUCUCACAGUCUCAAUUGGUUGGUGUCUUAGUUAGGAGUUUGCCUUGAAUCUCAAAGGAGACUUUGGACUUGGACUUAAGCAAUGCAGGAACCAUUGAGAAUUUGAGAGACUCUGGAGAUAGAUCAAACACAUUUUGUAUUUUGGAAUGAAUGUGAGCCUUCGGGGCUUUUGGUGGGGUCUUGUGUAUUGGAUCUUAAGUAUCUCUCAGGGCUCAUGAUUGUUAACAGACUUGGUCCCUGGCUAGUGGCUCUAUUGGGAGGUGGUGGGAGCUUUUUAGGUGGAGCCCAGUGGAAGGAAAUUAGGUCAUUAGAGGCAUGGCCUUGAAGGGCAUAUUGGGACCCAUCCUUUUCUCUCUUUCCUGGCUGCCUCUGCUAUACACUCUUCCUCAGGAUACCCUGCCACGCCACUGUCACAGAUGCCACAGGGACAAGUGGCCAUGGACCCUGACCUUCAAAACUGUGAGCCAAAAGCAAUGUUUUCUGCUAUUAGGUUGUUUAUCUUAGGCCAGAGAUAGAAGGCUGACUGACAGUUUCCAACCAUCACACAGGAAGUUCCUCCCCUUCUCUCCCUCCAAAAUCUCCUCUUGUGAAUUCAUUUGAUCUUAGUUUAAAAGACAAGAAGUGAUCCCACUCUCAGGUGACAGAGGACACUGAGAGAUCUCAGUUUAGGGUCUGGUGGUCCACAUCCUUCCCACAAACCAAGACUUCAUUCAACCAUCUUUUCAGAUACAAAUACCUCCAUGGUACCCCAAGACUAGAACUGAGGAAUGCAAGGAUGCUCUAAUUCGAGAACAUCCCAGAAGCCACUCAGCUGUAGAUAUAGGUUUAGGUAAAGGGAACCCAGACAAUCCCUGGCUCAGCUCAGAAACAGGAAGUGGACAGUGGAGCAUCUUCUCAGCAAGAAGAUAGUUGCCUGUGUAGGCAGUUACAUAGUAAAUGUCCUAUGUGGGGUCCUCCUGUCUUUGGGGUAUCCUUCAGUGUCCCACAGUAACUUCGUCCCCAGAGCACAUAUAUCUAAAGUGUUUGUUUUCAGCAUUGGCUGGCAAAUGCCUUAAAGUGCAUCCUGGGACAGAAGACAGACUGAGGGGCUUGUCCACAUCCCAGAGACCUGUGUCCUUGAGUAAGCAUUUUAACCUCUCAGCCCAGCUUCGUUUUCUGCAAAACAGAGUACUAGUGAUAUCAACUGUCCGGGCUUGUGAAGAUUAAAGUCAGUGCGUGUAAAGUGCCUGGAGCAGUGAAUGGCAUCCCAUAUGUACUUGUUAUAAAUUCUGUAGCUAACUGCUCAUCCACUCAGAACAUGCUGUCCAUUUUCCUGAUUUGGUCCUCUUUCCCAUCCGCACCCAGUCAGCUGGCCUCAUCUCAUGCCUCCUUGCUUCUGCUCCUCAGUUCCCAGCCUCAUCGUCUUACGGCAACAAAGGCUUGAAACCCGUGUCCUCCUCAGGAUUGAGACCACAGGGAUGGGAGCAGACCAGUUCACUUUCAAAUCCUGCAGAGCGCCCAUCAUGGUGUCUCCAUAUGGGGAGCAGAGAUGAAGAAUGUUUACAGGGGUAUGAGUUUCUGACUGUUCCACAAAUGCAGUCACCUGCUCCCCAGAGUCUACACCCCAUUGGAGGUGUGACAGAAGUGACUUCAGUUCCUCACUUGCCACAUCCCUGCCUAGCCUGUGUGAUUCAGUGUAGGCUCCGUCCACUAUGGCUGUCGCCCUAUGACCUACUUUGCCUAAGGCCUUCCUCCUUUACCUCUGUCUUUGAGGCUGGCUGCUGAAGGCUGUAGUACAGGACAGUGGUGUCCCCGUCAAUGUUAGUAAGCUCAGAGCUGGGCCGAAGCACUUUUCAGAGAGGCCCCUGUAGUCACUGAUGGAAGUAAAUGCCUAUUGCAUGUUUGUCCACAGCAUUGCUGCAGUAGAGAGUUGGUAUACCCCAAAAUGAGUACACACUUCAUGCCAAGACUUUAGAACCCUCUUUGGGAGAAAUCUAAAGCAAUGGAAACAGUUUUACUCAAGACAGUUUACUCUGUUCUCUGGAGUUUCUCCCAAAUUUCUGUUUGUAGCCAUUCUUGUGCCUAGGCCAUAUGUCUUAGUUGCUGAUAAACAUCUUAAAAAUUAUGUGUGCAUGCUAUAUAGACAUAGUACACAUGCUCUUCAUUUAUUGACUCCUGUAAGAUGUAAAAUGUGUAUGAAAAGCCAGUGAUGUGGGCAGUAAGUGAAAUCACCAAGGGAUGGACAGACAUACAGACAGGAUUUAUUGAAAUAUAGUACAAGAAAGCUGUAGGUAAGCCUCAAAGAGGGGAUCAUGCAGCUGAGAAAGGAGUGGGAGUCUUGUCUAGUUCUGACUGAGAAGGAAGUCACUUGGUGUUACCUUUUGGGCUGUUUGUUUGAGUCCACAGCUGGAUAGAUAGGGUGCCAUCUCACUUUCUUAUUAAGCAGCAGAUUCUACAGUGUGAGUUGUUUAUAUUGGAUAGUUGACUGUCUAUCCCUGUAAGGUGCCAUUAGUCAUAUGAGAUAGUGCUGUGGGAUGUUCUGUAUGGCAAAUGUGUUGAUAAUUAGUCAAUAAAUAAAACACUGAUUGGCCAUUGGCUAGGCAGGAAGUGUAGGCGGGACAAGGAGGAGAAUAAAGCUGGGAAGUGGAAGGCUGAGUCAGAGAGAAACUGCCAGCCGCCAUGAUGACAAACAGCAUGUGAAGAUGUCAGUAAGCCACGAGCCAUGUGGCAAGGUAUAGAUUAAUGGAAAUGGAUUAAUUUAAGCUGUAAGAACAGUUAGCAAGAAGCCUGCCAUGGCCAUACAGUUUGUAACCAAUAUAAGUCUCUGUGUUUACUUGGUCGGGUCUAAGCAGCUGUGGGACUGGCAGGUGAGAGAGAUUUGUCCCGACUGUGGGCCAGGCAGGAAAACUCUAGCUACAAAUGGCGUCCAACGUGGUGGCAAGAGUUUCCACCUAAAAACUGAGAAAAAAGAUUCUAAAACGGAGCUAAAAACAGCUUCCUAAUUGUCUCUCUCAAAUGAGCGGCAGCUGCCGGUUUGAGCUACUUGUGGGUUCCUAGCGAGGUGCUCGACCUGCAGUAUGGCCGGAAUGAGUCCUCUGCAAGUGGCACAUUAAGCUGCGUGGUGGAUUUAGCCUUUGCAGGUACAAAACAAAAAAAGAGGUUUCUGGACUACACGCUGCUUGGAUAAAAGCAUAGACCCACGAUAGCUCCCAGAGCUGGUGGUAAACGUAGCCAUGUUGGGAAGCUGAGGUGGGCGGAGCCAGCAGCCACAGCUGCUGCAGCUUAAAGCAAUAGAUUCACAAUAAGACAGAUUCAGAUGUAAUAGUUUACAAAGUGUGUAAAAUAUACGCAGGCUUGAAAGAGACAAAAAAGGUGAUAUAUACAGUUAUAGAAACAAAUACAUAGUUUUAAAAAAUAAAGUCUUUAAAGAGACAGUAAAAUUAAUAUAAAAGAGUAAGCCACGUAAAGAUGAAUAUUACACAGAGAAUCUGGAUUGUGUUGUCUUUGGGAUUCUUAACUGCAGAGAGAUAUUUGAUUGUAAAGGAAGCUGAGUUAAACCAAAAUGUAUAUUUUAAAGGUACCUUGACUUCAAAAUUUGGAUAUAAGGAUAUGUUGCUUUGGAAAAGAGUCUCUUUUGUUCCCACAGAAAUCCAGAGGCUAUGGAUUUGUUCCAGAUUAAGAUACAUCAGGUUUGACCAGCCAAGACCCCCUGAAAGGUCUCCGAUGACACCAUGGCCCAGAUGAUCCAACAUCCAGAAUGGUUUCAAGGAUGUAGCUCUCAACUACUGCUCCAGCUUCUACCUGUGUGCCACCAUGCUCCCGCCAUCCUCCCUUCCAUGAUGAUAAUGGACUAAACCUCCGAAACUAUGCUGUCUGUCACUGACACCGAGUGCUAAAAUGGCUGGUGGAUGAGAGUGUCUUCUUGUAGUGUCCUCCUCAAAAAUUCUUAAAGCACUCACUUCCUUUGGGAUGAAAUCUAAGUGGCCGAUCCACUCCUGCUGCUCCUGCUCACCUUAAUUCCAUUUCUUCACGUGCACCCUGAAGGUAGAAGGAAGACAUUUUUACAUUUGGGGCUGUGGCAGCGGUGUGUGUUCAGGGUAGUGUGUCUUUCGUGUAAAACGUUAGGAUUGCUAUGUAUGAACUGGAUUGAGGAACUGUAUGAGGGAGCUUAAAAGCCAUCCUAUGUGAUUGUGGUGGGGCGUGGUUUAUAUGUGUGACUGCUCUUUUGUAGUUUAUGUGAAUAUUCAGUGUUUCUGGGGAGUUGUAUGUGUGUAUCUGGGCUAUGUGAUGCAUAUGUUGAACUCUAGAUGUGUGUGAAUUCAUAGCUUGUGUGGAUUUU